rnacentral:rRNA from 1 species
AUGGAGGCAGCAGUGGUGAGCGUGUCGCGGGGCGCCAUAGGCUUCGUGAUUGCGAAGCUUGGCAAUCUGCUCGCCGGCAAGUACAAGCUGCUCAAGGGAGCCAAAGGAGAGAUCAUGUUCCUUAAAGCUGAGCUCGAGAGUAUGCGAGCAUUCCUGGAGAGGAUGUCGGAGGCGGAGGAGGAGCCCGACAAGCAAGCCAAGUUAUGGGCGAAGGAGGUGUGUGAUUUGUCCUAUGACAUCGAGGAUAGUGUUGACGAGUUCAUAGUCCUGGUGGAAUGUGAGUCCGACUGCGAACCGCAUGGAUUUAAGGGAUUCAUUCAGAGGAGCAUGAACUUGUUGACGACGAUGAACACUCGGCAUAGGGUCGCGAAGGAGUUCCGAGGCCUCAAGGGCCGUGUCAUGGAGGUGAGCGAGCGACGCAUGAGGUACAAGAUUGAUGAUGCUGUCUCAAAGCAAAACAAGACAACCAUAGACCUUCGCCUCCUGGCACUCUACGCAGACACUGCGGGCCUUGUGGGUAUCGACGGGCCGAGGGAUGAAUUAAUUCGGCUGAUGGCGAGUGAAGAGGGUAGUCCUGCGCAACUGACAAAGGUCCUCUCCAUAGUUGGAUUCGGAGGGCUUGGUAAGACUACACUUGCGAACCAGAUUUACCACAGGCUAAAGUGGCAGUACCAGUGUCAAGCUUUCGUUUCUGUGUCCCAGAAACCAAACAUAAGAAUGAUUUUGAGAAGAAUGCUCUCUCAAGUCCAUGGAGUGCCAGAGGGAACCAACAUGGAAAUAUGGGCUGAGGAGGAACUGAUCAGUGAACUCAGAGAAUUCCUUAUAGAUAAGAGGUACUUGAUUGUAAUUGAUGACAUUUGGGAUGAAACUACAUGGAAUGUUAUUAGAUGUGCUCUUCCAGAAAAUAUGUACGGUAGCAUGAUAAUAGCAACUACCAGAAUUAAUUCUGUGGCUAGAGCUUGCUGCUGCCAUCAACGUGACUAUGUUUAUAAGAUGAAGUCACUAAGCAAAGAAAACUCAAGAAAGCUAUUUUUUAAACAAGUAUUUGGUUUAGAAGAUGCUUGCCCUCCGUACUUGGAAGAAGUUUCAGCUCAAAUUUUGAAAAGAUGCGGCGGCUUGCCUCUUGCAAUUGUGACUAUAUCUAGCCUUUUGGCUAGUGAGCGAAACAAAUUGAAGGAGCAUUGGGUGCACAUAAUGAAUUCUCUGGGCCCUAAUUUUGAGGUGAAUCCAACAUUGGAAGGAAUGAGGCAAAUACUGAGCCUUAGUUACAUAAAUCUUCCUCACUAUUUGAAGACAUGCAUGCUUUAUUUGGGUAUGUAUCCAGAGGACUAUAUAAUCAAGAAAAGUGAUUUGGUCAGGCAAUGGGUAGCCCAAGGUUUUGUAAGUAAAGCACAUGGGCAAUGGCCAGAGGAUGUUGCAGAGUGCUAUUUUAACGAGCUUGUUAAUAGAGGCAUCAUUCAACCAGUUGAUACA